UACGGAAGGCAGCAGUGGGGAAUAUUGCACAAUGGGCGAAAGCCUGAUGCAGCUAUGCCGCGUGUAUGAAGAAGGCCUUAGGGUUGUAAAGUACUUUCAUCGGGGAGGAAAAACAAAACUAAUAAUUUUAUUUCUUGACGUUACCCGAAAAAGAAGCACCGGCUAACUCCGUGCCAGCAGCCGCGGUAAUACGGAGGGUGCUAGCGUUAAUCAGAAUUACUGGGCGUAAAGAGCACGUAGGUGGUUUUUUUAAGUCAGAUGUGAAAUCCCUGGGCUUAACCUAGGAACUGCAUUUUGAAACUGAAAUACUAGAGUAUCGUAGAGGGAGGUAGAAUUCUAGGUGUAGCGGUGAAAUGCGUAGAUAUCGUGGAAGGAAUACCUGGUGGACGAAAGCGGCCUACCGUAAACGAAUACUGACACUGGAGGUGACGAAAGCGGUGGGGAGCCAAACGAGGGAUUAGACUACC
rnacentral:rRNA from 1 species